rnacentral:rRNA from 1 species
UACAGAGGGGGCGAGCGUUGUUCGGAAUUACUGGGCGUAAAGGGCGCGUAGGCGGCCUGCUAUGUCGAACGUGAAAUCCCCGGGCUCAACCCGGGAACUGCGUCCGAAACUGGCAGGCUUGAAUCCGGGAGAGGGAUGUGGAAUUCCAGGUGUAGCGGUGAAAUGCGUAGAUAUCUGGAGGAACACCGGUGGCGAAGGCGGCAUCCUGGACCAACACUGACACUGAGGAGCGAAGC